rnacentral:misc_RNA from 1 species
AGUCGUAACAAGGUCUCCGUUGGUGAACCAGCGGAGGGAUCAUUACAGAGUUACUACUCCAAACCCAUUGUGAACCUUACCUAUGUUCUGUUGCCUCGGCGGCGUGGUCAGCGCCCCCUCUGAAAAGAGGACGAUGCCCUCCCGCCGGCAGCACCAAACUCUUUGAAUUUUACAGCGGAUUACAGUUCUGAUUUGAAAACAAAAAACAAGUUAAAACUUUCAACAACGGAUCUCUUGGUUCUGGCAUCGAUGAAGAACGCAGCGAAAUGCGAUAAGUAAUGUGAAUUGCAGAAUUCAGUGAAUCAUCGAAUCUUUGAACGCACAUUGCGCCCGGCAGUAAUCUGCCGGGCAUGCCUGUCCGAGCGUCAUUUCAACCCUCGAACCUCCGUUUCCUCAGGGAAGCUCAGGGUCGGUGUUGGGGCGCUACGGCGAGUCUUCGCGACCCUCCGUAGGCCCUGAAAUACAGUGGCGGUCCCGCCGCGGUUGCCUUCUGCGUAGUAAGUCUCUUUUGCAAGCUCGCAUUGGGUCCCGGCGGAGGCCUGCCGUCAAACCACCUAUAACUCCAGAUGGUUUGACCUCGGAUCAGGUAGGGUUACCCGCUGAACUUAAGCAUAUCAAUAAGCGGAGGAA